GUGAAAUCUACUUCCCUGAUGGCUGCCUGGGCCAGCUCUGGUUCUCCGUGGAGUACCAGCCAGAGGCCGAGAAGCUGCUGGUGGGCCUGAUCAAGGCACAGCAGCUGUGAGCUCCCUCAGAGAUCUGCAGGCCCCUUGUGAGGCUCCACCUGCUGCCCGAUGAAUGGUACUUCCCCCAGUCCAGGAUCCCAAAGCUUGAUGAGCACUUCAUCUUCCAGGUGUCAGGCAAGAGCAUCACCCAGAGGGUGCUGUGGUUCUCAGUGUACCACGUGGACAGGCAGAGGAGGCACCAGCUGCUGGACCAGGUGCUGUUCCCCUUGAGGAGUGAGACCCUGGCAGGUAACAUUCACCACAUCAUUUGGAGAGACCUGGAGCCCAAGAGCCUGGAGAUUCUUCUGAGCUCCUGGGGAAAGCUACAAACCCUUCACAGAAAAAUGUACUACUGUCCCCUGGAGGCAGAGUCCUAA
rnacentral:lncRNA from 1 species